rnacentral:rRNA from 1 species
UACGUAGGGUGCGAGCGUUAAUCGGAAUUACUGGGCGUAAAGCGUGCGCAGGCGGUUUUGUAAGCCAGAUGUGAAAGCCCCGGGCUCAACCUGGGAAUGGCAUUUGGGACUGCAAGGCUUGAGUGCGGCAGAGGAGACUGGAAUUCCUGGUGUAGCAGUGAAAUGCGUAGAUAUCAGGAGGAAUACCGAUGGCGAAGGCAGCCCCCUGGGCUGACACUGACGCUCAGGCACGAAAGCGUGGGGAGCAAACAGG